rnacentral:rRNA from 1 species
GAUGAACGCUGGCGGCGUGCCUAAUACAUGCAAGUCGAGCGAACGGACGAGAAGCUUGCUUCUCUGAUGUUAGCGGCGGACGGGUGAGUAACACGUGGAUAACCUACCUAUAAGACUGGGAUAACUUCGGGAAACCGGAGCUAAUACCGGAUAAUAUUUUGAACCUCAUGGUUCAAAAGUGAAAGACGGUCUUGCUGUCACUUAUAGAUGGAUCCGCGCUUCAUUAGCUAGUUGGUAAGGUAACGGCUUACCAAGGCAACGAUGCAUAGCCGACCUGAGAGGGUGAUCGGCCACACUGGAACUGAGACACGGUCCAGACUCCUACGGGAGGCAGCAGUAGGGAAUCUUCCGCAAUGGGCGAAAGCCUGACGGAGCAACGCCGCGUGAGUGAUGAAGGUCUUCGGAUCGUAAAACUCUGUUAUUAGGGAAGAACAUAUGUGUAAGUAACUGUGCACAUCUUGACGGUACCUAAUCAGAAAGCCACGGCUAACUACGUG